rnacentral:rRNA from 1 species
UACGUAGGGUGCAAGCGUUAAUCGGAAUUACUGGGCGUAAAGCGUGCGCAGGCGGUUAUGUAAGACAGAUGUGAAAUCCCCGGGCUCAACCUGGGAACUGCAUUUGUGACUGCAUGGCUGGAGUGCGGCAGAGGGGGAUGGAAUUCCGCGUGUAGCAGUGAAAUGCGUAGAUAUGCGGAGGAACACCGAUGGCGAAGGCAAUCCCCUGGGCCUGCACUGACGCUCAUGCACGAAAGCGUGGGGAGCAAACAGG